rnacentral:rRNA from 1 species
AUGAAAUUUGCUUUUAAACUUCUCCAAAAACACGACCUACCUUGGAUGAACUGGUUCUUCCAACACUACUCUCUUGACUUCGGAAAUAAACCCCACAACCCCUCCUACCUUUGGAAAAUCAUAAACGCACAACUUAGCUGCCUCCGCACAAUCUCUUUUGUCCUUACCGACAAUGGCACCUCCACCUACUUCUGGCUUGACGCUUGGCUGCUUCCGACUCCACUCGCAGACACCUAUCCACACCUAUUCUCCCACUCCACCUCACCCUCGGUUUUGGUAUCACAAGUCAUGCAGAAUGGUUUACUCGCUACUCUGCGGAACCACCUAACAAAUGUUGCUUCUGUAGAGCUUGCGUCUGUUUUGUCUUUAUUGUAGGAUGUUGCCACUAGCGAUGCGCCCGAUGACAGGUUCCUCGCCCACGGCUCCUCGUUCUCCUCGAGGUGCACCUACUCACUGCUAUCCUCCGACCACGAGAUUGAUCUCAACACCAGGUAUAUCUGGAGCUCCAUGGCACCUAUCAAGGUCAAGAUCUUCAGCUGGAUUAUUCAUCAUGACAGGCUGAGCACGAUGGCGUACUUACAUCGCAAGACCAUCUCCUCUGUUACGGCAUGUCCUUGGUGCGACCUCACUCUAGAGGACGCGACACACCUUGCCAUUCAUUGCCCCUGUGCGGCCCAGGUCUGGUUGGGGCUGCAAUUCCCUCACUCCAUCGACCUCCGGUCAGCCUCAACAUCAACAUUUGGCGCCAUCCUCUGGAAGCUAUGGGACUCCAGGAAUGCUCGUGUCUUUCACAACGAGCUACGUUCCCCCCUAGAUACUCUUCGCAACAUCAUCCUGGAUUUUACAAAAUAA